AGUUGAUCCUGGCUCAGGAUGAACGCCAGCUACAGGCUUAACACAUGCAAGUCGAGGGGCAGCAUAUCGAAAGCUUGCUUUGAUGAUGGCGACCGGCGCACGGGUGAGUAACGCGUAUCCAACCUUCCCUAUACUGGAGGAUAGCCCGGCGAAAGUCGGAUUAAUACUCUAUGUUCUUCGCAGAAGACAUCUGAAAUGAAGCAAAGGUUUACCGGUAUAGGAUGGGGAUGCGUCUGAUUAGGUUGUUGGCGGGUAACGGCCCACCAAGCCCACGAUCAGUAGGGGUUCUGAGAGGAAGGUCCCCCACAUUGGAACUGAGACACGGUCCAAACUCCUACGGGAGGCAGCAGUGAGGAAUAUUGGUCAAUGGACGAGAGUCUGAACCAGCCAAGUAGCGUGCAAGGAUGACGGCCCUAUGGGUUGUAAACUGCCUUUAUACAGGGAUAAAGUGCACUACGUGUAGUGUUUUGUAGGUACUGUAUGAAUAAGGACCGGCUAAUUCCGUGCCAGCCGCAGC
rnacentral:rRNA from 1 species